UGUGUGUGUGUGUGUGUGUAUGUUUGUGUGUCUGUUUGUGUAGGGGUGUGUGUGUGUAGAGGUCUGUGUGUUUCUGUGUGUGUGCAAUAGAGAAAUAGCGAACAUACAACGCAUCCUCCGACCAGCAGGGGGGCGAUAGAACCUGCAUGAGAGGAGAGAGGUCGAGAGUCUGAGGAGAGAGGAGGUCUGAGGAGAGAGGUCUGAGGAGAGAGGAGGUCUGAGGAGAGAGGAUGUCUGAGGAGAGAGGAGGUCUGAGGAGAGAGGUCUGAGGGGGAAGUACGCCCACCAUAGCAAAUCCACAGGAUCCACUGUGUCUUUUUAUGAGCAGGUCAGAGGUCAACAUUUGAACAACAAAUAAGAUUGUGUUUCCACACAUGGUAAUAAUGAACCAGGGGCAUAAAACAGAGCUAUACAUAACCCUAUAAGCUAUAAGACUCUGCGCCAGUGCCCACUUAUCUACAACUGUUAAAACAGCACAAUAACAACCGGACUGCUAUGAAGUUUGAUAGUUUGUUAGUUUGAUAGUUUGGUACUCGCCUUAACACUAAAUUAUUGGGGGUAAACAACAUAAAUGUAUGAAUCCAUUUGAAUGCAGUCUGCUACAAUGUGUAAAUGAUUAAUUUAACAUCAGUGUACUUUCUUUCUCCUGAGAAGAUCCACGUCUUAUAGAGCAUUGGACUGCUGUAUGUCGCCGCUGCUCGGACACAGUCAUACGUGGACAACAUUCUGUUCAGCGUCG
ensembl:lncRNA